GGGGAUGUAGCUCAGUUGGUAGAGUGCUUGCCUUGCAUGCAGAAGGCCCUGGGUUCAAUCUCUAGCACCAUUU
rnacentral:tRNA from 1 species